rnacentral:lncRNA from 1 species
GUCUGAUUAUUCAUUGCCCUGGAAGAAAUUAGGGCUGAUGAUGCUUCAUCUGCAUGCACACAUUCCUCACAAUUCAUGGAUAAUCCUGAAGAUUUCAUGAGGGAUAUGAAGCAAAUCUUUACCAAGUGUUCUGUGGAUAAAGUCAAUCCUAGAAAUUAAAAAUCCAGAGAUAAGAGAGGUUAGAAACUAAGUUUUCUUGUUCUGAAGGUAAAAUAAGCAAGCAAAAUGUGACGUAAGCCUGAUGUUUUGGAGAGAAUGUUUGUCCCUUCUUCUAAAGUACAGCUGCUGCUUUCUCUUAGAGACUUACUUCCUCUGAAACUGAGAAUAAGGGAUAUGGAAGCAAAGAACUUCGGAGAUACUUGUGUUCAUCUUGCUGCAACAAUUAUCUUUGGUCUGUCCAGACUGGUUAGAGAAUAUGUGUUCUUCCAGCAUGGUAAUACAAGAAGAAUUUUAUAGAGCAGCAGCUAUGGUUCAAGACAAGGACUUCACAGAGCAGUGGCUGCAGAGAAGGAUAAACAGCAUGAGAACCAAGGAUACCUCUAGGGUAAGAAUGAAUGGCUUGUGGCUUUGAAGGGGAGUUUUAGGGUUGUCAUUGCAGUAACACCCUCAUCUGUCUGCAAAAAAAGUAUGGCUUUUCGGGCAAUAAAUGGACACAGCUAUAUUUAACCA